rnacentral:lncRNA from 1 species
AUGCAAGCUGAGAGGGGCUACAGCCUCGGGGGAGGAGAAGCUUUAGAGAGAGAGACAGAGAGAUUCCUAGAGCAGACUGAAGAUUCAAGAGACAAUUCAUGGGGCCUCCUUGUAUUUAUUUCCGCCUGUUUAGGGAAGUAUUCUCAAGCGCGGAGCGAUCACGUUACAAGGUAUAGACAAUUCAGAUUGGAUGGUAAGGUUCUCAGGUUCACAGACUUAGAGCUGGAAGGGAUAUUAGAGAUCAUCUGGUUCAAGUCUUCAUUGUACAGAGGAUGGAACUUGGACACAAAGAAGUUGAUUUGUCUAAGCUUUCAUGGACAGGUUAUCGUAAUGAUCAAAAAUCCUAGAUGCAAAAGGUGAUCCUUGUGGAACAAACUCUUUGCCUAUUUAAAGGAUGAAGUUGGUGAUCAAUGACACAUGUAAACCCAGUGGAAUUGCACAUCAGUUGUGAGAGGGGGUUGGAGGGAGGGAAGGGAAAGAGCAUGAAUCUUGUAACCAAAAUUACUCUAAAUUGUCUAAUUAAAUAAAAUUUAAAAAAAAUAAAGGAUGAAGUUGGCC